rnacentral:rRNA from 3 species
ACUCUCGGCAACGGAUAUCUCGGCUCUCGCAUCGAUGAAGAACGUAGCGAAAUGCGAUACUUGGUGUGAAUUGCAGAAUCCCGUGAACCAUCGAGUCUUUGAACGCAAGUUGCGCCUGAAGCCAUCAGGUUGAGGGCACGUCUGCCUGGGCGUCACGC